CCUACGGGAGGCAGCAGUGAGGAAUCUUGGUCAAUGGACGAGAGUCUGAACCAGCCACGCAGCGUGAAGGAUGACUGCCCUACGGGUUGUAAACUUCUUUUAUAUGGGAAUAAAUUGUUCCACGAGUGGGAUUUUGUAUGUACCAUACGAAUUAGGAUCGGCCAACUCCGUGCCUGCAGCGGCGGCAAUACGGAGGUUCCGAGCGUUAUCCGGAGUUAUUGGGUGUAAAGGGAGCGAAGGGGGAUUGGUAAGUCAGUUGUGAAAGGUCGCGGCUCAACCGUAAAAAUGAAGAUGAAACGGGGAGUCUUGAGUACAGGAGAGGUAAGCGGAAUUCGCGGUGUAGCGGUGAAAUGCGUAGAUAUCACGAGGAACACCGGUGGCGAAGGCGGCUCACUGGACUGCAACUGACGCUGAGGCACGAAAGUGUGGGGAGCAAACAGGAUUAGAUACCCGAGUAGUC
rnacentral:rRNA from 1 species